CGUAACGGUCGACGGUGACGUCAUGUGCAAUACCCUUUAUUUGCUGGUUGUGCAAUCAUUUUUCCAAUAUUUUUAGCUAAUAGCCUAAUCUUUAUUCACUGAGAAUAAUUAAGAAUUGUUUGUUUGAUGCUAAUUAUUUAAUGAGAUCACAUAUGUAUUUUAUUAUAGAAAUACAUUAGGCCUAUAGCAUAGAAAAUGUCCCCUUAUAAAAAGGGGGAAAAAUGCAUAUUCAUGUUUGAGAUGACAAUAAGAUAAUACUUUCGAACAUACACACACACACACACACUUACAUUGGCUACUUGCAGCCUGAGAGUUACAUCCGUUUUUGGAACCAAAAGUUGAAGUUAUCCGCUUACUUACUCUUAAACACACCCAGGUAUGUCACAUAACCUGCUUUCUGUAAAAAAAGUUAAAUUCACUAAAUGAAAUAAGUUCAUUUUACUUAAAACUUUAAAAAAGUUAAUUCAACUUAACACAUUUUGUGAUGUGAACUCAAAAAUGUAUUAUAUUAAGUAGAACUCAAACUAAAUAAGUCACUAUGUUAUUUUAACUUUAAUGGUUUAAGUUACAGAAAUUAAUUUAAUCUAGUAGCUUACCUCGUCUAUAAAUAAAUAACUAAAAGCUAUCAAAUAAACACACAAACAAUAAUAAAUACAUUGAUCUGUUUCAUAUUAAGCCUACAUUCAACCUUUUUAAAGUAAUUACAUGUAUUCAUGUCAAAGUAUUACCCAAGUGCGUUUCUAGGCAACAAAAAUCGCGCCGGCGCCAUUUUCCCUCCUUCAGUCGCAGCAGCAGGACGGGCUCACGCAACGGUCAAGAAAAAUAACAGAGCAAAGACGUUGAAAGGUGGUGUGAUAUCAACAUGGCUACAAUAAUAUGAGGCUGCAUUUUUUGGCUUUGAUGUAGG